rnacentral:rRNA from 1 species
AUUGAACGCUGGCGGCAUGCUUUACACAUGCAAGUCGAACGGCAGCGCGGGCUUCGGCCCGGCGGCGAGUGGCGCACGGGUGAGUAAUGCAUCGGAACGUGCCCAGUAGUGGGGGAUAGCGCGGCGAAAGCCGGAUUAAUACCGCAUACGACCUGCGCGUGAAAGCGGGGGACCGAAAGGCCUCGCGCUAUUGGAGCGGUCGAUGGCGGAUUAGCUGGUUGGUGGGGUAAAGGCUUACCAAGGCGACGAUCCGUAGCUGGUCUGAGCGGACGACCAGCCACACUGGGACUGAGACACGGCCCAGACUCCUACGGGAGGCAGCAGCUGGGAAUUUUGGACAAUGGGGGCAACCCUGAUCCAGCCAUGCCGCGUGCUGGAAGAAGGCCUUCGGGUUGUAAACCGCUUUUGUUCGGGAAGAAAUCCUCUGGGCUAAUACCCCGGGGGGAUGACGGUACCGGAAGAAUAAGCACCGGCUAACUACGUG